CGGGCUCGCCCGAGCCACCGCCCUUCCGACUGCGCUGCCCCGGGCAGGGCCCCGGCAACGUGACGCCCACCUCGUAGGCGCCACGGCAGCGCCCAGGCCGCCCAGGCCCCCGGACACCGCCACACGGUCUCCGUACUCCUUGUGAUAUCCUUCGACCGCGAGGAACAGCGCCGAGAACACGGCCCACACCGGCCGGACGCAAGCAAGGCCUUCUUCAUCAGCAGACGCGAGGCCAGCUCGGCCCGAGACUCGGCCCGAGCCGAGACGGUCACCCCUUCGUUGGCCCUCUUUAGGACAGCCUGAGGAUUGACGGGUUUCAUCUCAUCCCCCUACAUCUGUGUGUCACGUCAAUCCCGGACCUCAGGCUCGAAUCAGAUAGUCUUUGCCAGAUCCGUUCUUUUGAACGUCAUUGUGUCUACUGAUAUAUGUUAUAGAUUCAGCUUUAAACUUUUUUCCUAUUCUCCGGCCUGAAAUUUAUCUGGAUUUGAUUGUAAAAUUCAUCCUUGUUUCCUCAACUUAGUUUUCUUUGCGCUCAGGUGGUGUAUCUGUGGAUUCAUAGUACUUGUGUGUUGUGGUAGCGUGCUGCGUUAGUCUAGACGGCAGCCUCGACAGUCUUCCGAUGUCGCUAAUCCAUACUAGUCAUUGGAAAAAAAAAACGUGAAACAUUCGGCACCUGAGAAAAAAAUUCCACGCGGAAUUUGUUGUUGUAGAUGGCCGAUUCGUGGACAGACGUGAUCUCCUCCACCUCCCCUUACCUUACCCUGUCUUUUUUUAAUGGAAAUAUUACCAUCAUCCCAAAUUCAAAUUAAUCUAUUGAUAUCCCGCCAAAUUUAAAUUUAAAAUUUCAUCCCUGGCUUAAUUCAAUUCUUUUCCUUUUUUUCUUUUUAAUCAUGGUCUGGUAGUGCUUCCCUCGUUGGCCUGAUUGUUGGCGUUCUUCGAAAGAUGUCUUGGCUUUUUUUGUGUUCAAAGGGGCCGGUUGAGAGGUGGCUGUCUGUUCACAUCCUUAGUCAUACUGCUGGCUUGCACUCAAAGUGGCUGUGGACUAAUCAGAAACCACGUGACGAUUCAGAGGAGAGAAGUGGAGUCUGCUGAAGUGGUUUCUGAGUGGUCCUUUGGUUUGCGAGUGACAUAGUUGUUGGGCAGCAAUCCUGCCUAGUUUUGUGAUAUUUUCGUACUGGAGCAUCAAUUGAGAGAGCGGUUUUGUUUUUAGUUAUUUUAUUCUCGGCUUGUAACUUUUUUUGUUUUGUAUCAAUUCUUUAGAGUAACUUUGAAUGUUUUGUGAUAUUAAUGAAUGAAAAACAAUGGUGGACUCGAUCCUAAGUUCUGAUAGACUGAUGUGUGUAGUUUCAUAAGCAGUAAGAGCGGCACACAGCACAGAUACCUCUGUAGAAGUAUGUAGAUCAAGUCAGCUAUUAUAAUAGAAUUUAUUGUGCUUUUUCUUGCAUAUUUACGUAAUUUUAAGCACAUUUUCAUUACUUAUUACAUUCACCUUUGUAUCAUUCUCUCGGAAAAAAACAUUCUGUGCUGUGAAAUUGCCAUAAACUAUGUGUGUCCCAAAUUAUGCUGCAUCUUCUAUUGUAAGUGAACUAUGUCACAGAGAAACUGUGCAAAGUAAAACACUGGUGUUUACUUGUCUGUCAUUUAUGUCUCCAAGACUCAAAAACUGUAUGGGAAAGUUAAUGUUUCUCCCUGCCUGUCACUAAAAUUUUUAGGAUGGAUGUUAGUUGUUGCACUCUUUAUAGCCAUGUAGUAUAUUGUAUUUUGUUUUAUUUGCCAUAGAUAUUUUAGCAUCUUGUACAGUUUUUAAUAGCUUUUGAGUUUUUCCUGUAAAUUGUCCGUUGAUUGCUGCUUCACAAAUAUUUACAUUUUGUGAUAUGUGGCCUUGUUAUAAUUAUGUUAAUAUGAUUAUUGUCACAUAUUGAUUAAUAUAAUUUAUUCAGAUUGUUGUGACCAAA